CUGGUGCCCUGUUCUGGCUGUUCAGGCAGAAUAUUGUAUACAGAAUAAAUCUAAAAAAAAAAGAAAAGAAAAGAAAAACCCUUUGUGAAUGAAUGAGUGAGUGAGUGAAUUAAUUCAGUGUCAUAGCUUGCCUCUGUGUAGGUCACUCAGCCACCUAAGAUUCAGCUGCUUUAUUUAUACAUUGAUAAAGCUAGUUCUCCUUUUACAGAUAAGUGCAUGUAAAUGCCUUGCAGGGUAGCUGGCACAGCGUGAGGCUUUCUCACAAACUGAAACAAUGGUUUUCAUGUUGAAGUAAACUAUGGGGUGGGACGUUCCUGCAUCUUAGACAGAUAGAGUUUACUCUUGUAAUGGGUGAUGUUGAGGAGAGCACAGGGCUGGGCCUGUAACAGACGCUGGAUAAAUGUUAGGUCAGUGAACGGUGUCAGCCAGAAACUCGUCAAGUCUAACCUUUAAGAGCGUUCCUCAUGUACACUGUUGAUAAUUUUAAAAGAUAGAACAAAGUUUAGAUGUCAAUGAACAGGAUCGGUAAGUAACUCUGGCAUAAAAUGGGUUGAUUUGUCACAUCUGUAGAUGAAAUCACUCUGGGGAAACCAUGACAAUGGCUACAAUCUGAGUGUGACCUCCAAAGGGUCACAUGUCAGAAAAUUGAUCCCAGUGGUGGCACUGUGGUUGGGAAACCUUUAAUACAUGGAUUCCCAGGGGAAACAAUGAGGACACUGGAUUACUGCUCCCAGAGGAUUGAUGCUGGUUUCACAAGAAUGGGUCAUCACACAAGUUUGGCUAUCCCAACUCUCUUCCUCCUCUUAACCUCCUCCUCCUCUGCCCCUCCAUCACUGUGAUGCUCUCUGUCCUUAGGCCAUAGGCCAGCAUCUUGUUCUUUAAUCUCUAUGAGCUAGGGAUUAGAGUGUCGACAAGGUGUGCUCCCUACAGGCCUGAGAAGUAGCAUUGCAGACCACAGACAAAAGAAACAACUAAGCAAAACAUAGCAUACACUUUCAUCCGUGUGCAUGUGCAUGUACAGGCACACACACAUACAUACACAGAGCAUAAAUAGAUGGAUGAUAUAAACAGAUAGAAAAAUAUACGUUAGGAGGAUCAACUCCUGCCUAAAUGUUUAAAAAAGGCCUCAGGGAAGAAUGGCCAUUAAUCUGCCUUUCUGUGUUACAAAUAGUAACUCACUACUUAGAGAAGAGAUUUCUAGGCAGAGACAUCAUGUUCUCAAGGCCACAAAAACUCUAAUGACUAAACCAGCUGUAAUCACCAGCAAAAGAAGACAUUCAGGGAGGUGCUGAGUGGCCGUCCAAUCCUCUAUUUAAAACAAUUGCUAUGGAGACAAGUAGACUAGAUUAGAAUGUGCAGGUACUCCACCAGAAGAUAGCACCUGCCCAGCCCAGCAAGUCUCUGAACCGAAGGACUGGAGUGCAUCCCAGAUCUGAGGGUGAGACAGACACAGAGGGCUCGUUUCGGGGUUCUUUGUGGCUGCUGGUUUGCUUCUUUGUCUGAACUGAGCUAUGUAUAUUCCAGGCCAUGUUCCAGUAUCUUUGACUUUCUUGAUGGCACAGCAUCUCACAGAGGAAGCAGCGUCCUGGAAGGACUUGAGAAGAAUACAGAAGAAAGGUUGGCGGCAACAUGAACAGCCAGUUCCACUCCUGUGGUUAAUACCCACACAGCUGUAACCUAUCUAGUUUUAUUUUUCUCAGAUUUCACUGAGAUGCCAAGUCAGCAACAAUUCCGAGAAGAACUCCAAUGUAUAAAGAUAAUGUUGAAUGUUGGGAUGAGCAGGUCAGUAUCUGCCACUCCUGGGCACAGACCUUGUCUGAAUGGAUCUAAGGACUGAGUAUGAAGAGAGUCCCUCACAGAUUUUAGCUAGUUCCUGGGAAGAGCGUGUGGUUACAGCCUCUGAAUCCCUGACACUCCACCAACUGACGCUCAACACUUUUGAGAAGCAUUUAGCUUAGCUGGAAAGAUAGGUGAAGUCUAUUGGUAGAACUAAGAGAACUGAUGGCUCAUAAUCACAAGAUCGAAAGAACCCCCAAACUUUAUUCUCUUCUCUUGGCUCAGACUUUCUUUAGAGCCGUUAGUGUACCCAUGUCGGGACUGAGAACAAUGUUCAGUGUGUGUAUAAAUGAGUAACUGCUCACAACAGGCCUAAUGUCACUGAGUGGGAAUUAAAAUUAGUCUCUUUUCUGUGGGGCUCGAAGGCCUUUGAUGUGCUUUGUCUCAAAUAGACUAGUUCCAGUGUGUCACACCUACACAGUUCAGAGUGUCUACACAAGGAUAAUGACAAAUGGUGGGAAUGCUGGCAAUGAAUUUGAGACAUUGUGGGGAAGAUUAAUCCCAUGUUCUGAUAUGCUUAAAGUGGUUAAAAUAACCAACUUUGUUAUAUGUGUUUAUUCCAACUCAAAAAAUGGAAUAUAUUAGAAGCCAUUGAAUUAUAUACUUUAAGCAGGUGAAUUAUAUGGUCGUGUCAAUUAUAUAUUUAUAAAGCUUCUUUAGGAAAAUGCACAUGAAACCUUAGAAACUAGUCCCCAAACAUCAUUUUAUAGCUGAGGAAAUCCAGACCCAGAGAUGGGAUGGGGCUCCUUAAGGUUAUAUAUAUUUUUCCUGUCAGAAAAAAAUACUUUAUUUUAAUUUGAUAUCAUGUAUAUACGUUGCCACAAGAAGGAAAAUAUAUUUCAUUUUUUAUUUUGCCAUAGAGACUGGUGGAAACUCAUUGCAUCUUGACAAAUCUCAGUGAAUAAAAUUAUAAAAUGUGA
rnacentral:sRNA from 1 species